rnacentral:rRNA from 1 species
AGAGUAAAAUAGUGCGUGAAAUUGUUGAAAGGGAAACGAUUGAAGUCAGUCGUACCGACGGACAAUCAGCCUUUUGAGUGCGAUUCUGUGGUGCAUGAGGAGGAAACCCUCAUGUUUUGCAUAUUUGUGCUCUUUGGGUGUAUUUGUUCGUAUGGUGGGUUAACAUCAAUUUUGGUCGUCAUAAAAUGACGGGAGGAAAGUAGCUUUGGUCUCGUAUUGAAGUGUUAUAGCCUCUGGUAGAUGUGACGACCGGGAUUGAGGAUUGCAACGGAUACCCUUUUGGGCUACUCGCCUGAUCUCUGAUCGUUACUCUGGUGCCGAAAGCUUGCUUAUGUCAUCAAAGUUGAUGGUCAAAAGGUUAGAACGGGUUAAAUUCGUUAAGGAUGUUGACGUAAUGGCUUUAAACGACC